CACGUUUGACAGGUGAAGCUGGGUGGACGUUUAACGAUGGCGAGAAAAGAGCGGAAAGCAGAGCAUCCGUCUAACACAGCGGAGGCAGCGUUAUGGCGUGGGCACAGGGGAGCCGCUCUGGUUUUUCCCGAGGACGUGAGCGGACGUGCUCUCUGGGGGCCGAGCCAAAACAACCCAGGAUGUGAGAUUUUCUCAAAGCUCGUCAGCUGAUCUCAGGCCAGCGGAGCAGUUUUGGCCGCAGCGUGCGGUCCUCACCGAGUCUUACCUUCGUGUAAACACGUCUGAGUGUUCACGUGCAACAACAGCUGAGCUCCACCUGACCUCUGACCUCUCCAGGACCAUGCCGUCACCUGUCAGCUCAUCUCAGUCUGACCCAUCGGGACUCAAACGCCUCUGUUUGUGGCUCCAUCGCUGCUCCUCCCCUCCUCUCCCUCUCCCCGUCAGCUGCGGCGACUCCUGCCCUCCGUCAGCAUCGCGCCGUCUCCCCCUGCUGGUGGCCCUGCUGCUCUGCGGCCUGCUGCUGAUGGUGCUGCUGCUGCUGUGGAACUACCACUGUGUGUUCAUCUCACACCUCUGCUCCCCCCUGGGGGAGGAAGGGGGGGAGAUGGGCUCGUGACCUCUGACCGGUCUGGUCCAGUCCUGCUGUGCCAAGUCAGCACUGUGUCAUUGAUGAUGAUGAUGAUGAUGACGGCUCGGGACGGUUUUCAGUUUUAAUAAAAAUGUAACAAUC
ensembl:lncRNA